CUCAGGCAAAAGAGUGUAGAGAAAAAAGGGGUGRAAAAUGGGGUUGUAGCUGGCUUCUUAAGGAAGCAUGUGCACACUUUAAAGGAUCUCCUAAUCUUUGCUCUGUUGCUUGUUUUCUUAUUCUAUCCACUUGUGCAUUUUUGUARACAAGCCUUGACCCUAGUUGUUCAGGUUGUCUAUGAUUUUUUUUCCACAUACAUUGAAUAAAUAUGUUUGUAAAGAAUGACAAAAGUAUUAAAUACAACUUUCAACAACGGAUCUCUUGGCUCUUGCAUCGAUGAAAAACGCAGUGAAAUGCGAUAAGUAAUGUGAAUUGCAAAAUUCAGUGAAUCAUCGAAUCUUUGAACGCAUCUUGCGCUCCUUGGUAUUCUGAGGAGCAUGCCUGUUUGAGUGUCAUUACAUUUUGUCAAAACAUACAGUUAGUGUGUUCUGGAUUGUUGGGAGCCUUUGCUGAACUUGUUUCAGCUCUCCUGAAAAAGAUUAAACUGUUAAGGGGAGAUGUGCUCUAUUCACUUCUGCCUUUUCCAUUGGKGUGGGAGAUGAAUGAAAAAUUCACUAUGCCAGGAAAAGCGGGGUUUCACAAGUGAAGGAAAAAGAGUACAAUGGGAACUCUUCUGCUCAUUAUUUGAGAACUUGGKUGUAUUGACUUGACCUCAAUCACGUAGGACUACCCGCUGAACUUAUGCAUAUCAAUAAGCGGAGGAAAAGAAACUACAAGAUUCUCUUAGUACUGCGAGUGAGAGGAGAGCUCAAUUGAAAUCUGCAAUGUGUAUGGCCGGACUGGUAUCUACAGAUGUACUGUGCUGACGUACACAAACUCUCCUGA
rnacentral:misc_RNA from 1 species